rnacentral:lncRNA from 1 species
GGAGACCCGCAUGCAGACAACCCGAGAAGCUUCGUUUCUACUACACCGGCGUCGAAGCGCGCCGUUGAUUUCUCCGACGUUUUGAUCGGCUCCGCCGCCGCCGCCGCCGACGCCGUUGAUUUCUCCGACGUUUUGAUCGGCUCCGCCGCCGCCUCCGCCGCCGCCGGGUGUUAUGGUUUCCCCGGCGGUGGUAACAACAUUGCUCAAGGGAGCAGCUCGGGGACUCGUGUUUCGUCUUCUUCCAUUGGAGCUAGCGGGAACGAG